rnacentral:rRNA from 1 species
UAGGGAAUCUUCGGCAAUGGACGAAAGUCUGACCGAGCAACGCCGCGUGAGUGAAGAAGGUUUUCGGAUCGUAAAACUCUGUUGGUAGAGAAGAACGUUGGUGAGAGUGGAAAGCUCAUCAAGUGACGGUAACUACCCAGAAAGGGACGACUAACUACGUACCAG